UACGAAGGGGACUAGCGUUGUUCGGAUUUACUGGGCGUAAAGCGCGCGUAGGCGGAUCGCUAAGUCAGGGGUGAAAUCCCAGGGCUCAACCCUGGAACUGCCUUUGAUACUGACGAUCUGGAGAUCGGGAGAGGUUGGUGGAAUUCCGAGUGUAGAGGUGAAAUUCGUAGAUAUUCGGAGGAACACCAGAAGCGAAAGCGGCCAACUGGCCCGAUACUGACGCUGAGGCGCGAAAGCGUGGGGAGCAAACAGG
rnacentral:rRNA from 1 species